UCUUCCUACGGGACGCAGCAGUGGGGAAUAUUGGACAAUGGGGGAAACCCUGAUCCAGCGACGCCGCGUGAGUGAUGAAGGUUUUCGGAUUGUAAACUCCUUUUGUUAGAGAAGAUAAUGACGGUAUCUAACGAAUAAGCACCGGCUAACUCCGUGCCAGCAGCCGCGGUAAUACGGAGGGUGCAAGCGUUACUCGGAAUCACUGGGCGUAAAGAGCGCGUAGGCGGGAUAGCAAGUCAGAUGUGAAAUCCUAUGGCUUAACCAUAGAACUGCAUUUGAAACUGUUAUUCUAGAGUAUGGGAGAG
rnacentral:rRNA from 1 species